UACGUAGGAUGCAAGCGUUGUCCGGAAUUACUGGGCGUAAAGGGCGAGCAGGUGGCACUACAAGUCUGAUGUAAAAUCUCCCGGCUUAACUGGGAGGGGCCAUUGGAAACUGUAGAGCUGGAGUGCAGGAGAGGCUAACGGGAUUCCCGGUGUAGUGGUGAAAUGCGUAGAUAUCGGGAGGAACACCAGUGGCGAAGGCGGUUAGCUGGCCUGUAACUGACACUGAGGCGCGAAGGCUAGGGGAGCGAACAGG
rnacentral:rRNA from 1 species